rnacentral:rRNA from 2 species
CGUGACGGCGCGAGCAGGUGCGAAAGCAGGUCAUAGUGAUCCGGUGGUUCUGAAUGGAAGGGCCAUCGCUCAACGGAUAAAAGGUACUCCGGGGAUAACAGGCUGAUACCGCCCAAGAGUUCAUAUCGACGGCGGUGUUUGGCACCUCGAUGUCGGCUCAUCACAUCCUGGGGCUGAAGUAGGUCCCAAGGGUAUGGCUGUUCGCCAUUUAAAGUGGUACGCGAGCUGGGUUUAGAACGUCGUGAGACAGUUCGGUCCCUAUCUGCCGUGGGCGCUGGAGAACUGAGGGGGGCUGCUCCUAGUACGAGAGGACCGGAGUGGACGCAUCACUGGUGUUCGGGUUGUCAUGCCAAUGGCACUGCCCGGUAGCUAAAUGCGGAAGAGAUAAGUGCUGAAAGCAUCUAAGCACGAAACUUGCCCCGAGAUGAGUUCUCCCUGAGACUUAGAGUCUCCUGAAGGAACGUUGAAGACGACGACGUUGAUA